UCCUGAGUAGCGGCGAGCGAAACGGAAAGAGCCCAAACCAAGAAGCUUGCUUCUUGGGGUUGUAGGACACUCUAUACGGAGUUACAAAAGAAAGUUAUAAAUGAAGCGGUCUGGAAAGGCCCGCCAAAGACGGUAACAGCCCGGUAGUUGAAAUGGCUUUCCCUCCAGAGUGGAUCCUGAGUACGGCGGAACACGUGAAAUUCCGUCGGAAUCCGGGAGGACCAUCUCCCAAGGCUAAAUACUCCCUAGUGACCGAUAGUGAACCAGUACCGUGAGGGAAAGGUGAAAAGCACCCCGGAAGGGGAGUGAAACAGUUCCUGAAACCGUGUGCCUACAAGUAGUUAGAGCCCGUUAAUGGGUGAUAGCGUGCCUUUUGUAGAAUGAACCGGCGAGUUACGAUUUGUUGCAAGGUUAAGCGGAAAAAGCGGAGCCGUAGCGAAAGCGAGUCUGAAUAGGGCGCAUAAGUAACAGGUCGUAGACCCGAAACCAGGUGAUCUACCCAUGUCCAGGAUGAAGGUAAGGUAAUACUUACUGGAGGUCCGAACCCACGCACGUUGAAAAGUGCGGGGAUGAGGUGUGGGUAGCGGAGAAAUUCCAAUCGAACUUGGAGAUAGCUGGUUCUCUCCGAAAUAGCUUUAGGGCUAGCCUCGAGGUAAAGAGUCAUGGAGGUAGAGCACUGUUUGGACUAGGGGCCCUUCUCGGGUUACCGAAUUCAGAUAAACUCCGAAUGCCAUGUACUUAUACUCGGGAGUCAGACUGCGAGUGAUAAGAUCCGUAGUCGAAAGGGAAACAGCCCAGACCACCAGUUAAGGUCCCCAAAUAUAUGUUAAGUGGAAAAGGAUGUGGGGUUGCUUAGACAACCAGGAUGUUGGCUUAGAAGCAGCCACCAUUGAAAGAGUGCGUAAUAGCUCACUGGUCGAGUGACCCCGCGCCGAAAAUGUACCGGGGCUAAACAUAUUACC
rnacentral:rRNA from 1 species